rnacentral:rRNA from 1 species
UCAUUUAAAGAAAGCGUAAUAGCUCACUGGUCGAGUCGGCCUGCGCGGAAGAUGUAACGGGGCUAAACCAUGCACCGAAGCUGCGGCAGCGACGCUUAUGCGUUGUUGGGUAGGGGAGCGUUCUGUAAGCCUGCGAAGGUGUGCUGUGAGGCAUGCUGGAGGUAUCAGAAGUGCGAAUGCUGACAUAAGUAACGAUAAAGCGGGUGAAAAGCCCGCUCGCCGGAAGACCAAGGGUUCCUGUCCAACGUUAAUCGGGGCAGGGUGAGUCGACCCCUAAGGCGAGGCCGAAAGGCGUAGUCGAUGGGAAACAGGUUAAUAUUCCUGUACUUGGUGUUACUGCGAAGGGGGGACGGAGAAGGCUAUGUUGGCCGGGCGACGGUUGUCCCGGUUUAAGCGUGUAGGCUGGUUUUCCAGGCAAAUCCGGAAAAUCAAGGCUGAGGCGUGAUGACGAGGCACUACGGUGCUGAAGCAACAAAUGCCAUGCUUCCAGGAAAAGCCUCUAAGCAUCAGGUAACAUCAAAUCGUACCCCAAACCGACACAGGUGGUCAGGUAGAGAAUACCAAGGCGCUUGAGAGAACUCGGGUGAAGGAACUAGGCAAAAUGGUGCCGUAACUUCGGGAGAAGGCACGCUGAUAUGUAGGUGAAGCGACUUGCUCGUGGAGCUGAAAUCAGUCGAAGAUACCAGCUGGCUGCAACUGUUUAUUAAAAACACAGCACUGUGCAAACACGAAAGUGGACGUAUACGGUGUGACGCCUGCCCGGUGCCGGAAGGUUAAUUGAUGGGGUCAGCGCAAGCGAAGCUCUUGAUCGAAGCCCCGGUAAACGGCGGCCGUAACUAUAACGGUCCUAAGGUAGCGAAAUUCCUUGUCGGGUAAGUUCCGACCUGCACGAAUGGCGUAAUGAUGGCCAGGCUGUCUCCACCCGAGACUCAGUGAAAUUGAACUCGCUGUGAAGAUGCAGUGUACCCGCGGCAAGACGGAAAGACCCCGUGAACCUUUACUAUAGCUUGACACUGAACAUUGAGCCUUGAUGUGUAGGAUAGGUGGGAGGCUUUGAAGUGUGGACGCCAGUCUGCAUGGAGCCGACCUUGAAAUACCACCCUUUAAUGUUUGAUGUUCUAACGUUGACCCGUAAUCCGGGUUGCGGACAGUGUCUGGUGGGUAGUUUGACUGGGGCGGUCUCCUCCUAAAGAGUAACGGAGGAGCACGAAGGUUGGCUAAUCCUGGUCGGACAUCAGGAGGUUAGUGCAAUGGCAUAAGCCAGCUUGACUGCGAGCGUGACGGCGCGAGCAGGUGCGAAAGCAGGUCAUAGUGAUCCGGUGGUUCUGAAUGGAAGGGCCAUCGCUCAACGGAUAAAAGGUACUCCGGGGAUAACAGGCUGAUACCGCCCAAGAGUUCAUAUCGACGGCGGUGUUUGGCACCUCGAUGUCGGCUCAUCACAUCCUGGGGCUGAAGUAGGUCCCAAGGGUAUGGCUGUUCGCCAUUUAAAGUGGUACGCGAGCUGGGUUUAGAACGUCGUGAGACAGUUCGGUCCCUAUCUGCCGUGGGCGCUGGAGAACUGAGGGGGGCUGCUCCUAGUACGAGAGGACCGGAGUGGACGCAUCACUGGUGUUCGGGUUGUCAUGCCAAUGGCACUGCCCGGUAGCUAAAUGCGGAAGAGAUAAG